UGCUAUGUGUUAUGUUCUGGAGUUUUAGUCGCACGAGUUUUAAUUGGUUUUUCAUGAACUUAUUUUUCCAGAAUCUGGAAAAAAGGGACAAAGGACUUAUGUGGUUUAUGCUUUUCGAAUGAUAACAGAAACAAGUUGAGAUUUGAAUUUCGAGGACGAAAUUCCCUUAAGGGGUGGAGAUUGUAAUACCUCGGAUUUUUGGAUUAAGCUUAAAAAUUUGAUUAAUGGAUGAUUUUUUUUUUUUUUUUUGAGACUUUUAUAUCAUUUGGGGUCUUUAUCACUUGUUAGAAGAGUUGGGACAUUAAAGUGAUUUAAUUUUUAUUGGUGGAGGUUUUGUAAAUUAAAGAAAGAAUUGUUAGUGGAGAUACAUGUGGCAAUCUUAUAGGAAAACUUAAAUGAUGUGUCCUCACAAUCAGCCCACAUAAAGACACGUUAGUAAUCCAUGGCUUUUACAAUUCAAUUGUGUCCCUCACUUGGGGCAUGAAACAGAAACUAAGGUGUAGGAAAGGGAAGGAGGAAGAGAGGAUUAGAGAGAAGGAGGAGCAGAACCGAGAGAAUAAGAAGAGGGAGGUUCAGCCAUGGAAGAAAAUAAAGGGAAGAAAGGAUUAAGGAAGUGCUGGCCAGAUUUCCACCAGCCUCUCACUAUCACCUUAUGCAUGUUCAUUUCCAUCAUUAUCUCACCUUUUCUAGCAUGAUUGAGGUUGUAUUGAUCAUUGGAGAACAAUUGGGAGUGGCUGAAAAUUAUAGCAUUGGAGACCAUUUAGUUUUGUGUAUAAAGUGUUUGAGAAAUGUUUGCAUGAAUUUAUUUGAGGAAUUGGAUGUAUUUGUGAGUUUAAGUGCCUAAUUUGUAUCUAAACCAUUCUAUGUUCACUUAGAGACUGGUUGUACCUAUCCUUCUAUUGUAGUUGUGAUGAAAUUUGUAAAUGGAGCUCAAGUAAGAAAACAA